UUAUAGACGUGAGCCACCGGCCUCCUCCAUAUGAAUUUGAAAGUCCUUUUGUCAAGUUCUCCUAGAACUUCUUUUGGGAUUUUCAUUAUAAUUGCUUUGAAUUGACAUCUUUACAAUAUUAGCUAUUGUAAAUUUAUUACUAGUUUAGUAUUACUGUUAGUAAACGAAUAUUACUAGUUUACUGUUACAGUAUAAACUAUUGUAAAGUAUUAACUAGUUCUAUCCAUGAAUAGAAAAAAAUAUCCCAUAAAAUACCUAUCAAAUAACAGCAAUCAUUGACAAAACUAAAUACUAAUUUUUUGAAAAGAAUAUUAGAAUACUUUUAGGAGUACAGAAAAUGAAAAAUUUUGAGAGCUUUUGUUACAGUUCUUUAAAUGAGAAUGUAUACAUUCUUCCUUAGAUCACUUCUUAAAUACAUUAUGGUUCUUAUUGAUAUGGAUGAUAUAUUCUGGUUGAAAUUGUUUCCAGCACUUUUGAAGAACUUCUUUUUAAGUUAAUCCUAAUAAGUCUUCUGAGUUUUUCCUCUGUUACUGAUUGUAUCAUCUGCAAAUAAGGAGAAAUUUGUCUCUUUCAGUUCUUAUUAUUUUAAUUUUUUCUGUUGCCUGUCUUGUUUAGUCAAGAUCCUGGUACUAUGUUGAACAAUUCUAGUAAUGUCAUACUUGCCUUGCCGCAUUAAGUAUAAUGUUUGCUGUUGGUAUUGUUAGAUAGUUUUUAUCAAGUUAAGGAAAUUCCCUUCUACUCCCAUAUUCAGAGUUUUGUUGUUUUUUUUUAAGACGGGGUCUCACUCUGUCACCCAGGCCAGAGUGCAGUGGGGCAGACAGUGCUCACUGCAGCCUCCACCUCCUGGGCUGAAGCAAUCCUCUUACCUCAGCCCCCCAAGUAGCUGGGACAACAGGUGUGUGCCACCAUGCCUGACUUAUUUUUUUGUAUUUUUUUUUUAUAGAUGGGGUCAUGCCAUGUUGCCCAGUUUCAUCUCAAACUCCUGGGCUCAAGCAGUCCUCCUACCUCAGCCCUCCAAAGUGCUGGGAUUACAAUAGUGAGCCACCACGCCUGACCUAUAUUCUGUUUUUAUAUUUAACUUAUCACAUGCUUUCAUUGCAUGUAUUUAAUAGAAAAGUUCAUUUUUUUCAUUCUUUAAUGCAAUAAGUAAUACUAAUGGAUUUUCUGUGAACCAUCUGCAUUUCUGUAAUGAACUCUAGUUGAUUGCAAUAUGUCUGUUUGCUUUUAUAUACCAUUGGAUUCAAUUGGUCAAUAUUUUAUUUAGGAUUUUACAUUUGUGAAUCUUGGCCUGUAACUUUUUUUCAUGUACUCUUAUUACCCAGUUAUAAUAUCAAGGUUCUAUUGGCCUCAUAAAAUAAGUUGGGUAUCUUUUUUUUUUUUUUUUCUCCUAGAAAAAUUUUGUAUAGGUAGGUGUUAUCUGCUCUUGAAAGUAAGGUAGAACUUGGUAAAACCAUUAGAUGGCUUGGGGUGGGUGAGGGAAAGUUUUGAUUGCCAUUCUGCUAUCUUAAUUGGUUUUCUCUUUCUUCUUGUGUUUUGUUAGUGUUUCCAAAAGUUUAUGAAACUUUAAUAAUCUUUUCAAAGAACCAGUAGUUUUGUCAGUGAUUGUUGUACUUAUGAACUAUUUUAUUGGUUUUUCCUUGAUGAGGGUGAUAUAUUUUUUGACUCUUUUUAUAGCUUCUUGAAUGUUUAGCUCAUAUUUAUGUGUAUUCAAAGCUAUAAAAGUCUCUCUUAGGUCCAUUUUAGCUAUACCCCACAACUUUAGACAUAUAGUGCUGUCAUGUCUUUCUGUAGGUAUUUUGUAAUUUCUCUAUUUUGUUAACGUAGAUUGUUUUUCUUAGUUUCCAGGUGUGGAACUAUUUUUAAAAGCUAUUUGAUAUUUUAAAUUUUAAAUGUUAUUAAGAGAUACAUAGAGGAUACAUAUAGUCUAUGUGAUGUUGAUUCUUUCUGAUUUUUUUGCAUCCAUUAUUGCUAUUCAAGUCUGUGCCAGCCUGAUUCUUGUUCCUUUUUAGGUAAUCUUUUUCUCCCUCAAAGCUUUUUAGAAGUUUUCUUUAUAUUUGACAUUUUAAAAUUUGCUAACCUAUAUCUAGAUGUGAGUUUUUUUCUUAUGUACCUUAAUUUGUCCUUUUACAACUGAGGACUUACAUCUUAAAUUCUGAGAAAUCCUUAGUUUUUAUUUUUCUUUAUGCAUUUUCCCCUCUAUUUGUUUAUUUCUAUUUUCCUGGGACUUCUCUUAGAUGAAUACUGACACUUACAUUACAGUCCUCCAUAUCAGCUUUCUUCUUGGUGUCCAUGGAGGACUGAUUCCAGGACCUUCCCUCAGAGAGCAAAAUCCACAGAUACUUGAUUCCCUUAUAUAAAGUGGUGUAGUAUUUGCAUAUAACUUACACACAUCCUCCUGUAUACUUUAAAUCAUUUAUAAUACCUAAUACAAUGUAGUGCUAUGUAAAUAGUUGUUAUAUUACAUUGUUUAGAGAAUAAUGACAAGAACAAAAAUCUGUGUGUUCAGUAUAGACACAACCAUCCUUUUUUUUUUGAGACAGAGUUUUGCUCUUGUUGCCCAGGCUGGAGUGCAAGGGUGCGAUCUCAGCUCACCGCAACCUCCGCCUCCCGGGUUCAAGCAAUUUUCCUGCCUCAGCCUCCCGAGUAGCUGGGAUCACAGGCGUGUGCUACCACGCCCGGCUCAUUUUGUAUUUUUAGUAGAGACGAGGUUUCUCCAUGUUGGUCAGGCUGGUCUCGAGCUCCCGACCUCAGGUGAUCCUCCCACCUCAGCUUCCCAAAGUGCUGGGAUUACAGACGUGAGCCACCAUGCCCGGCACAACCAUCCAUUUUAAAAUAAUACCUAGAUUAUUUAUGAUACUUAAUACAUUUAUGUGUUUGUAACACCUACUACAAUGUAAAUGUUAUGUAAAUAGUUAUGCUACAUUAUAUAGGGGAAUAAUGAGAAAAAAAGUCUGUACAUGCUCAAGAUAGAUACAACCAUCCAUUUUUUUCCCGGCAUUUCAAUGCAUGGUUGGUUGAAUCCAUAGAUAUGAAGUGUAAUAUGUAUCAGGAUGAGGAGUUCAAUCACUUGCUGUCCUGUAGCUAUCAUUUCCCUGUAGUCUGUCCCUCAGAGAGCCUCACAUAUCUCACAGCAGGCAUACUCUUCCUGACCCACCAUCCUUAUAAACGUGCAGUUCAUAGGAUAAGGAGGGGAUGUCCAGGUUGACCAGCCUGCUGAUGUUUCUUGUUAUCAGCACCAUGUCCAGUGCUGCCCAACAGGCAUCCUGCUGUCUUCAGCUGUCACUAGCAUUGCUGCUUUUCUGCCACAAAAAGUAACAGAGUGGCUCAUGAUUUAAGCAUUGUAGAGGGUUGGAAGGAAAGUAAAGGAUGCAGCUGGAAAGUUCUUCCUUUGUCUAACCCUAUUGGUGCCACUUGGCCUGCUAUGCUCUGUGUAUCUCUUCCAUGCUGGUACUCUUUCACCUUCCGCUUCUCAGGGAUUUCUCAUCACUUUUGUGUUGAGUCCUGAGAUUCAGCAAUCUCCUUCUUAUGGGACAUCUCCAGGGUUAAAUUCGGAAGUAAGAUGAUAUGUGUCCUCUUGAAUUUAACUCCAAGUGCCAUGUUGUAUUUUUGUGCCUUUCAUUAGCCAGUAAACACUUAUAACCCAAAGUUACGAUGAUUUAGGUAGAAAAUAAGUAAAAUGAUGUAUUCUUUUUUCCCUAAGACUUUGUUAUAACCUUGGAGUCAUUAACAGCUUAUUCUGGUUUUCUCAUUGUCUGUCUGUUUGAAGAAUGUAUACUAUAUAAAGAAUUUAUGCUCUUGAAAGAAUUAAAUGGACUCAAUAGGCAUUUGUAUUUGUGAGUCUAAGAUGAUACACUAGAGGUCAGUUUUUUAAAGAUGAUUUUUUUUUUCUUUUUUUUUUCUUGACAUUUAGAGUGAAGAUGAAAUCAGGACACUGAAACAGAAAAAAACAUUUAUUAUCACUGUGGAUCUCUACUUGUUGGGUGUUAUGAAUUCUUUGAAGAAAUAUAUUUUGAAGAGGUGUGGGAGAAAGGAAUACAUUUUAUAAAAUGUUAUAGUGAAGCCCACAAUUGACCUUUGACUAAUAGGAGUUUUAAGUAUAUUAAAAAUCUAUACUGGACAGUUGCAAGAAAUUACCGGAGAAAAGCUUGUGAGCUCGCCAAACAAGGAUUUCAGUGUAGAUUUUGUCUUUCUCGAACUUAAAGGAACAAAUGACAAAGUUUGAAUGGAAAAGCCUGCUGUUGUCCACAUCUCGUUGCUGUUUACAUUCCUUUGUGGAGCCUACAUCUUCCUAAGCUUUGUAGCAGGUAUAUGUUGAACACUUCUGUUUCAUGGUUGAGACAGAAUCAGAGGCCAUGGAUACUGACGACUGAUUUGUCUGUUUUUUUUUUCUGUCUUUUUCCAUGACUCUUAUCUACUGCCUCAUCUUGAUUUAUAAGCAAAACCUGGAAAACCUACAAAAUAAGUGUUGUGGUUUAUCUAGAAAAAUAUGGAAAAUAUUGCUGUUAUUUUUGGUGAAGAAAAUCAAUUUUGUAUAGUUUAUUUCAAUCUAAAUAAAAUGUGAAUUUUGUUUAAA
rnacentral:sRNA from 1 species